GGCCCACUCCCUAUUCAACACUUUUCAAUCCACUAUUCUGAGCAGUAAUCCCAACUUAACCCAAUCCCCACCGGAACCUUAACCCAAAACCUUAUUCCAAACCCUUAUAAUCCAAACCCUACCCUAUCAACUAACCCUACCCUAACUAAGCCCACCCUAAUCCAACCCCCUACAUUUUAGGAUUCGUCUUUCGCCCCCCCCCCCGGGCGUAAUUUUAUAACCCCUCUCCUCCCAAGAAUUCCUUUUCGCCUUGCCUGCACGCAGAGUACGGUUCACCACAGUUAUACGAGUAAGUAAAUUUCAAUUUUUACAUUCCGAAACCAAAAAUCAACACAUCACGCAUUAGAAUCA